UACGACUACAUAUCAGGCAUAUCAAUAAGCGGAGGAAAAGAAACUAACAAGGAUUCCCCUAGUAACGGCGAGUGAAGCGGGAAGAGCUCAAAUUUGAAAUCUUAAAGGGUUUCCCUUUACGAAUUGUAGUUUAAAGAAGUGUUUUCUGUUGGAGUUUCGGUAAAAGUUCUUUGGAAUAGGACAUCAUAGAGGGUGAGAAUCCCGUAUUUGACCGUUACUUUCCAGCUGUGUGAUACACUUUCAAAGAGUCGGAUUGUUUGGGAAUGCAGUCCAAGAUGGGUGGUAAAUUUCAUCUAAAGCUAAAUAUUGGCGAGAGACCGAUAGCGAACAAGUACCGUGAGGGAAAGAUGAAAAGAACUUUGAAAAGAGAGUUAAACAGUACGUGAAAUUGUCAAAAGGGAAGCGUUUGACACCAGUGUUGUUUAGUUGAAAAUCAAUUCAAUAGUUUUUGAUUCUAAGUAGUAUUGACUUCAUCAGCUUGCUGCUUUCUUCUCAGAAAUUAUUGAAUGCACUUUUCAGUUAACAAGUCAACAUCAAUUUCUUUUGUUGUAAAAGGGUAAGAGGAAGGUGGCUUGCGCUUCGGCUCACGUGUUUAUAGCCUUUUAUCUCUGCAAUCGGAGAGAUUGAGGUCUGCAGCGUAGAUCCUUCGGGGUUAGAUACAUUGGUGCUAAGCUAUAGCCUUGUAUAGACAACUUGUUGACUAUGCUCAGUCAUGUAGCUUACUCGCUGAUGCUAUUUUACCUACGCUUAGGAUGUUGAUCUACAGAGCGAGAGU
rnacentral:rRNA from 1 species